AUCUCCCCAACCUCAGACAGAUAUAAAUACACUGCAAGUACACAGCAGUCUCUGUGUUUGGUUGAGUACAGACGAGGAAUCAUGAGCUGGCCUCUUCUUCUUCUGAUAUCCUCUGUGCCCUAUGUGCAUGGCAUCAGUCUGACCUCGUCUCCUGCUGAGGUUAAACCUCCCGGAGCCUCAGUGAAGUUGUCCUGUCAGAUUUCUGGCUAUGCCCUCACUAGCUACUGCACAGGCUGGAUCAGACAGCCUCCAGGAAAAGGCUUGGAGUGGAUCGGGAUCAUAUGGGGUGGUGGAGGUAUAGCCUCUGGAGCUUCCUUUAAAACUCUCUUCAGCAUCUCCAGAGACACAAGCAACAAUGUGCUUUACUUAGAUAUCAGCAGUCUGCUGCCAGAAGACACAGCUGUUUAUUAUUGUGCAAAGACACACAGCUGUACAACUCAGUGA